GAUGAAGAACGCAGCGAAAUGCGAUAAGUAAUGUGAAUUGCAGACUUCAGUGAAUCAUCGAAUCUUUGAACGCACAUUGCGCCCGCUAGUAUUCUGGCGGGCAUGCCUGUUCGAGCGUCAUUUCAACCCUCAAGCCCAGCUUGGUGUUGGGGGCCGGCCGCGACUUAACCGCCGCGGCCGCCCCCGAAAUACAGUGGCGGUCUCGCUGCAGCCUCCCUUGCGUAGUAGCACACCUCGCACCGGAGCGCGGCGCGGCCACGCCGUUAAACCCCCAAACUUCUGAAUGUUGACCUCGGAUCAGGUAGGAAUACCCGCUGAACUUAAGCAUAUCAAUAAGCGGAGGA
rnacentral:misc_RNA from 1 species